UGCAAUGAUGUUGUAAUUUGCGUCUUACUCUGUUUUCAGUGACAGUUGCCUGCUGUCAUUAAGCUGAAUCAGAAGGUUGACGAAGAUUAUUACUGAGCA
ensembl:snoRNA SNORD16 Small nucleolar RNA SNORD16